rnacentral:misc_RNA from 1 species
GGCCGUGCGGUGCAGUCCCAGAGUGGUGGUUGGGGGUUUACGGCCUUUUUCCUGUUAUGCCUGGGUUGGCUGCGUUGCCGUGCCCGAGUCGUGUCAUGUUUGGGUCGUGUGCGGGUCGUGUUUCUCGAACUGUUCGCGUCUGGACGACUCGCCGCGCAGGCUGGCCGGCUCUUAUCAGUCGGCGUCCCCCUCUGUUCUCAGUAAUUGGCCAGCGGCUCUUGGCCUACCUUAGGGCUCAGGCGGCGCCUGUAUAAUUUGGUCCGUGUUCCCGUACAGUCGACAGCGCCAGGCGCCAAGUGGAGAUCCAUAUCGAGCUGCUGGUAAACUUCAAUGCCCUCCUGGAAUUCUGAGUGCGUGUCGUCCACCUGGUGAGGAGUCCUUGCUGCCAGCGUUUGUAAGGGCAUUGGCUAGGUAUCGGAUAGUAUUAUACCGUCGGCAUUUGCUAGGACAGCUGGGAUAGGCGUUGCUUUGCAGAAAUGCCUAAACCUCGGUCGAGUUAUUCAUCGCACAAAAGGAUAAACGCCCUCAAAUGCUACGCGUGUAACGUUAAGGUCGUAGCCAAGAAUUUGCCCAGCCACAUGAAAUGUAAGCAUGGGGCGGAAUAUGACAUUCUCGCUAAAAAAAGCACGAUAUAUGGCUGGCUCUCUCAUUGAAAAAGCUGCUCAUGACAUGAGAUGUGCAUCAAUUUCUCCACGCCCAACGUUUCCCCAAC